rnacentral:rRNA from 1 species
ACGCCGCGUGGGUGAUGAAGGCCUUCGGGUCGUAAAGCCCUGUCGGGAGGGAAGAAAUCUCGGCGACCUAAUACGUCGUCGACUUGACGGUACCGUAAGAAGAAGCACCGGCUAACUACGUGCCAGCAGCCGCGGUAAUACGUAGGGUGCGAGCGUUAAUCGGAAUUACUGGGCGUAAAGCGUGCGCAGGCGGCGCCGCAAGUCAGGCGUGAAAUCCCCGGGCUCAACCUGGGAAUGGCGCUUGAAACUAUGGUGCUGGAGUGUGGCAGAGGGAGGUGGAAUUCCACGUGUAGCGGUGAAAUGCGUAGAGAUGUGGAGGAACACCGAUGGCGAAGGCAGCCUCCUGGGCCAACACUGACGCUCAUGCACGAAAGCGUGGGGAGCAAACAGGAUUAGAUACCCUGGUAGUCCACGCCCUAAACGAUGACGACUAGUUGUUGGGGGAGUUAAAUCCCUCAGUAACGCAGCUAACGCGUGAAGUCGUCCGCCUGGGGAGUACGGUCGCAAGAUUA